GGGCGCGUAGCUCAGUGGUAGAGCACCUGACCCACAUUCAGGGGGUCGCUGGUUCGAGUCCAGCCGUGCCCACCA
rnacentral:tRNA from 1 species